rnacentral:rRNA from 1 species
GACGAACGCUGGCGGCGUGCCUAAUACAUGCAAGUCGAACGCUUUUUCUUUCACCGGAGCUUGCUCCACCGAAAGAAAAAGAGUGGCGAACGGGUGAGUAACACGUGGGUAACCUGCCCAUCAGAAGGGGAUAACACUUGGAAACAGGUGCUAAUACCGUAUAACACUAUUUUCCGCAUGGAAGAAAGUUGAAAGGCGCUUCUGCGUCCCUGAUGGAUGGACCCGCGGUGCAUUAGCUAGUUGGUGAGGUAACGGCUCACCAAGGCAACGAUGCAUAGCCGACCUGAGAGGGUGAUCGGCCACACUGGGACUGAGACACGGCCCAGACUCCUACGGGAGGCAGCAGUAGGGAAUCUUCGGCAAUGGACGGAAGUCUGACCGAGCAACGCCGCGUGAGUGAAGAAGGUUUUCGGAUCGUAAAACUCUGUUGUUAGAGAGGAACAAGGAUGAGAGUAAAAUGUUCAUCCCUUGACGGUAUCUAACCAGAAAGCCACGGCUAAAUACGUGCCAGCAGCCGCCGUAA